UUUUCUCUCUGGCUUUACCUUAAUUUUCUGUCCUCUUGUCUGUUUUCACUAUUACGCUAUUCUUUUUUAGCCCUCUUUCGCGGAUACGUUAUUCUAUUUGAUGAGAAAAAGGGAAGAAGAAAAUAAACAGGAGCUAAAUUCUUCCUCCGAGGUCCGUACAAACGUUAGACUGACAACGUUGAGCUCGGCAUGAACAUCAACGUUUAGAGCAAGCUAGUAGAGUAUAGUUUUCUUGGUUAAUUAUUAGCACUCUGCAUCCUUAUCAGCACACUUCAGGACCUGCCACUGCCUAACUUGAAGCUCUGUAUCUACAUCCACAGUUAUCUUUACAGCCUUAUUGUGUCUGCAGGUGUGCUGGUUCGAGGCUGCAGGGCUGGUGUGCUGGCAGGAGGCUGCAGGGCUGGUGUGCUGGCAGGAGGCUGCAGGGCUGGUGUGCUGGCAGGAGGCUGCAGGGCUGGACAGCACCAAGACCAGCGGACUGACUCCCUGUGGCAGGUGUGCUGGCAGGAGGCUGCAGGGCUGGACAGCACCAAGACCAGCAGACUGACUCCCUGUGGCAGGUGUGCUGGCAGGAGGCUGCAGGGCUGGUGUGCUGGCAGGAGGCUGCAGGGCUGGUGUGCUGGCAGGAGGCUGCAGGGCUGGACAGCAGCAUGAGUAGCCAGGACAAGCAGGAGCAGACUGCUGCAGGGGGCAGGAGGCUCAGUGGUCAUCAGAUGAAGCAACUUGCUGCUGGCAACUCCAGCAACAAAGGAGAGAGGAAGUUUGUGUGUCUGGAGUGUGGAAAAGAAUUCACCUCAAGGGAAGGCCUCAAAUAUCACACCCUUACACACACUGGUGUGAAGAACUAUGAAUGUAAGGAAUGUGGGAAAAAAUUAAUCAUGAAGGGUCACCUUCAUACUCACACCCUUACACACACUGGUGUAAAGAACUAUGAAUGUAAGGAAUGUGUGAAAAAAUUCACCCAGAAGUGUAGCCUUGAUGCACACAUCCUUACACACACUGGUGUAAAGAACUAUGAAUGUAAGGAAUGUGGGAAAAAAUUCAUCCAGAAGGGUAACCUUGAUAAACACACCCUUACACACACUGGUGUAAAAAGUCAUGAGUGUGAAGAGUGCGGGAAGAGGUUCAGUGUGAAGCAGGCACUCAAUCAACACGUCUUAAGGCACUAUAGCCUUAGAGAGAUCAAGUGUGAUGUUUGUGGAAAGCUCUUUAAGAUGAAGAGUGACAUUGCCAGGCACAUGAAGAUCCACUUCUGAAGUGUGUCUGCCUUCAGUAGUUAUAAUGAUCAGGCAGUGACCUGCUGCGCCGGAUAGGAAAAGGCAAGUGAAGGGGAGGUAAAAGUGAUCCUGUAUGAUAAAGAAGAAAGAAGGUUUGCCUGAGGAAGAAGAGGAAGGGAAAAUAUCAAUGCAUGACUUUUCACAGCUGUGACAGCAGCACCUGGGCUGAGAGCCUUUAGUCUGACACAAAUAUGAAGCUUGUGCUUCAGGAGGAGUUGUGGAGAUUAAGGAAGAAGAUGUGGGGUUUGAGGAGGUGAGGUUAAGUGUGUGACUAGGUGAGUUGUGUAAUGGGUUCACAGGCUCAGGGGCCAAUGUGACAUGUCACAUGAGCACUGAGACCGUGUGCAGCUUGGCACAUUCCUCUGUAGUGCGGCGACGGCCUGAUGAGCGAGCCUCCCAUAACCCAUUCAGCGAAUGGGGUACCUCUUUGGCCGACUCGGUAAGGACUGGCUCUCCCAUCACGCUGGUCAUGGGUUCAAUCCCAGGCAGCUGGGGAAUACCCUCUCCUUGUGAUUAAUUUCUCGUGUGUUUUGAUACACGCAGAGGAUGUGUGGGACUGAAAGAGAGUAGAAAAUCUCUUCAUUAAACCUCCACCUUGUAUGUUAGGUUGUGUGCCAUAGUGUAGGUGAGUUGUAUUAAUUCAUUCUAUUUUUGGAGUUUCCUUCUAUAACUAUGACUACCACUCCUCUGCAGCUUCAUCUUCCCUUUCCCCACAUAAGGUGGUGCCAUAUGAGGAGGCACAAAUCAUCAACAAUAAGGGGCCAGCAGCAGUAAAGAUGGCCACUAUGCUCAGCCUUGUCCUUAGACCUUGCAGCAUUUGCCUUAACACUACUCUCGCCGCCCCUCCCACACCCCCUGCCACUGCAGUGAGGGCUGCAGAAGGCAUCAGUGUAAAGCAGUGGUUCCCAGCCUUUUUUGUCCCGUUCCUCCUUUGCCAGUCACUUUUUCACCUGUGGACCCUUACACCUCACAGGCCACUCUAAUCAUCCCAAGGGCCAAAUUUGUCACGUGGGCUGUGAAAAUGACACAGGCCCUGGUAUGGUUAGCUAAUGUAGAGUAAUUUUAGCAUUUAAGCAUUCAGUUUUAAGGAUUGUGUACAGUAGUAUGAAUUUCAUACCGAGCCGUCUGUCUGCAAAUUCCAGUAUGAUAAAUUUUAUAAUAAUUAGAAUCUCUAUGAACCCCAUGAAAUCCUUCCAUGGGGUUCCCUGGGUUGGGAACCACUGCUGCAGAGGGUGUGAGACAUGGUGGUGUUGGCAAUAAUGGACCUCCUACUGCAACUACUACUGCUACAGUUUUGAUAGGUGAUGGAAGUGCUGUUUUUCCUCCUCCUACUGCACUGUUUCCACUACUGCUUACCACUGCCUCUGUCUGAAAAGGAAGAGAUUCUUGUGCUGGUCUGAUGUUGCCCCAGGAAAACAUUUUGAGGAGGCGGAGAAAGACACUUCUAUGGCUGGCCGAGGGAGGUGCCAAGGAUGAGAGACAACAAGGGCAGCUCACUGUAGCGGCAUCAGUCUGUGGCACCAUGGGAAGCAUGUCGAGUGGUACUCGUGGGGCUUCCUGCUCUCCUGUAAUCAUUUUUCUGUUCAGCUUUGCUGUACUUUCUCCAGCAAUUCUUGAAAUAAUGAGAAUUAUAUGCUGCUUUCGUUUGAUAGUCUUCCGAUAUCACCUACUCAUUAUUUAGUGAUUACAGUUGGUUCAUUUUAUUGAGGAAUUUACUAUGCAAGGGACUGUGU